AUGGUUCACUUCUGUACAAUCUGGAAGAACCUCCAGAGUGCUGAACAUACCAGGUGCCAGCUGGACAACAGGAAGAAAACAAAAGACCUGGAGAUCAAAAUGACUUGAGCAGAAUCACACAACAGUGACCAGUGCUUCAACGUCCUACUCAUUAGACCUGGACAGAUAUUUCAAGGUGCCAGGAUGACCUGAGCAAGACUGGAUACAAGAAGUGCAGAGGGAUUUUUGGCUGAGAAGUGACUCA
rnacentral:lncRNA from 14 species